UACAGAGGUCCCGAGCGUUGUUCGGAUUCAUUGGGCGUAAGGGGUGCGUAGGUGGCGCUGUAAGUGGGGUGUGAAAUCCCGGGGCUUAACCCCGGGACUGCAUUCCAUACUGCGGUGCUUGAGGACUGGAGAGGAGACUGGAAUUUACGGUGUAGCAGUGAAAUGCGUAGAGAUCGUAAGGAAGACCAGUGGCGAAGGCGGGUCUCUGGACAGUUCCUGACACUGAGGCACGAAGGCCAGGGGAGCGAACGGG
rnacentral:rRNA from 1 species